UACGUAGGGUGCAAGCGUUGUCCGGAAUUAUUGGGCGUAAAGAGCUCGUAGGCGGUUCGUCGCGUCGGCUGUGAAAUCCCGAGGCUCAACCUCGGGUCUGCAGUCGAUACGGGCGGACUGGAGUUCGGCAGGGGAGACUGGAAUUCCUGGUGUAGCGGUGAAAUGCGCAGAUAUCAGGAGGAACACCAGUGGCGAAGGCAG
rnacentral:rRNA from 1 species